UAGUCCCAUAAAUGGUGAUGACGUCAUGCCACUUUCAGAAAGCAAAUACGGCGUUGAAGAUGCUAAGAUCAAGCUUCAAAAACAAGGCUAGAUGAACAUCUCAUAGCUAGGUAGACUCUACUAGUAUCCUUGAUGGGAAGAGUAGGAGUUAUUGUAUUUUUGAGAUACACAAAAUAGCCUACCUCUAGGGUGGCUGUCAGAGCUAAAGAAGCUAGCAUAGCUAAGAAAGUUUUGGACAUUUUUACUUCCCAUCAAGGAAACAUAAUCAUAACAACAUACUCUAUCUUUUGAGGGCCUAAACAGCUACUCUUACCUUGUUUAAGUCCGCCGUAUUUGUUGCCAAAGAUAAUCUAUAACAAAGCAGCUAGACACAGGAGUUUCCUGCUGCGCAAGACAGAGUGCAGCCAAACAAGAAAGUUAGGAGGAGAUCUCAGGGACAAUUCAGCUGGAUUUCAUCAGUAUAUGAUAUGUACAUCAGGAUUCCAGGAAAAGAUAGGAUCUAACUAAGCUGGAACAAAUCCUCUUUUUAUAAUUUAGUUUUACAAGGAAAGUUCAUGUUAAUUGGUCACAUGAUCUUUAUUUUCAUUUAAAUUAUUAUGACAAAACAUUAUGUGCAAUUACUAUGUUUAAUAUUGAAUACUUUUCGAUGUAUGUGAUGGCUAAUUUUUGAUUCUGGACGUGCCUUAAUACCCCUGAGAGGCCGUAUUUUAAUCGGCGUGGAUUUGAGGCUAGCAUAAGACUAUACCUAUAUAAUUAUAGACUGAGAUACAAUUGGCUCGAUUAUCUUAAAAGCACGAGCAUGUAUACGUGGGUUGAACAUGCACUGUUGCCGCAUGUGUCACCUAUAUAUAUAUAUACUUUUGUGCUCUUUUCCAUAAUUAUUGUGGGGUUUUCAAUUUUCUAUAGUGGUGGUUUGUAUCUAGUUGGUUGGAUUCCACCCAACUAGUUUGUACCAGAGAUUACGUUGACUGUAUUCCUGUAACUGUGUACUUUUAAGAUUGGCAACAGUUUUCUUACGCUUUUGGGAGUCCUGGCUGAAUGAACAGUUUAUCUAUUAUUUUAAGAUAACAUUCAUUCAUGGACUGACUCUCAAACAACUAUAGAAAAGUGUUGAAUUGUCAAUCCUAAAGUACAUUUGCAUGCAUAUAGUUUAUAGCACCUUAUAGUUUGAAAGAUUUUCCCAAAAGUUAUAUUCAUGCAUGAGUUGGGGGCCAGUGUCAUCAUUGCUGCCUUCAUGCACACAAUUCUUUUUGGCACAUAUAUCUUGCCUUUGAUUUGGCAAUUUUUUUACUUGCUAUUCUCAUUUGCUAGACCUGUUUGUGUUGCAUGUAUGGAUUCUAUUAUAUACAAACCCCUUAUACAUAUUGACUUCAUGGAAUUGUUUACUCUGUGGUUGAUAGAGAACUUCAGUGCUGCAUAAUCAGAGACAGGAGUGUGUCUAUAAGGUAUGUUGGGGAUCAUAUACCCUGAUUUUUAAGCCUUGUUUGCAAUGUAGAUCUAAUUUAAAUUGUAAUCUCUCUUUGUGUUAUACAUGAACAGUCUAUAGGCCUCCUAUGCCAAAUAUUCCGAAAUAAUUGUUUGAUAAUACGCAGCCUUUUUUACAAUUUGAAAUAGGCACUGUGAAAAUUGUAUUUAAUAUUGUAUGUCCAUUACGCCUGUGCCAAAUAUUCACCUAUUUAUAUUCAUAUUCGCCUCUCAAGCUCACCAACCAGCAUGCAAUAUAUAUAGCCUGAUAUAAUUUUAUGCAUGGCUAUAUUCAACUACAGUGUAUAUAGCAGCACUCUUUAAACAAUAGUAGGCCUAUAUGGAGGUUGAUUUCACCCAUCAGAAAUAUACUUUAGUUAAUUUUGACAAUGCAGUGCGAACAAUAAUAAUUAUUGUUUUGUAUAAUGUUCAAUAGUAUUAACAAAUCAUGCAAUCAACAGCUAAUCUAAUCUACAGGACUGGUCACUGUUAUUAUAUCUAGUAUAUACUGUUGAUUGUUGAUGAUAGCUUCCUCUGGCAUUUCAUAGAAGGCCCUAGCCUCGAUCCCAGGCCGAGUUUUCACUUUUAUAAAGGUUAGGCGAACAACUAUAGGCCUGGUACUAGUUGUCUGCGCAUGCGUCAGUCGUUCGUCAGAUUCUGCAUGACGAAUGGAUAUUCUCGUUCACUUUCGUGACAUUUAUAUUCGUGUACUAUCGUGUACUAGAAGUCAGUUCCCGUUUUAUCAUUAUUGGAAUGGCUCUUAGCUGAAGCUUCUCUCUUCUCUGAAGCUUAGAAAACAUUAUUCUGAAGACUGAACAACAAGGGAAGAGGUAUAAAGCUUUGUCAAGCUUGUUAAGGUCAGAUAUUUUUGUGUGGGCCCUAUGCUAUCAAGUCUUGUUCAUGUUUGGUAUUAAAGAUCUAGGUAGACUAUAGUAUCAUCAUUAAUAUGGUGGAUCAAGUGAAGAGUGUGAGCUAGAGAACUUGGUGCUGCCAUCAUCAGCUCGUCGACAAUGACACUAUAACCUGUUUAAUACGAGAAAUUUAAUAUGUAUAGAUCUACACGUAUUUUGAAUGUCUACUUCUCUGUACAGGAGCAAUGGCUAUACUAUCCAGCUAUCCCAACAUUGUUCCUCUUGGCUAUAUACUAACGGACGAGACUGGACAGUUUAAGGACUGCAUGGAGUAUGACCUGCUCGUUCGAGCGUUGCUGGGUAGCUCAGAGGCAUCAAGAGAAUCUACGUUUUCUCAAGCAAAGUUUAACUGAGUUACGAGUUGGGGCCUAGAAUCAGAAAAGUCCAGCAGCCUGCUAAAUCGUUGAAACGUAAUUUGAAGGCAUUCAAUCAUCUUGAAGUUGCCCUGGGUCACUGUAAUCGUGCUGCAGCACAACUGGCAACUCCCCAGGCCCUUGUGAAGCAGCUCCCUGUGUACAUCUUUUGUGUACUCACUCUGUGCAUUUUCUGUGUACAAAUUUCGAUUAUUUCGAAUUGCAUU